CGCGGCUGGAGGAAGGACGUUUGUGGUUGGCGGACUCAGCCCCGGCCGGGAAGUUCGAACGGACGUGGAAGAGCCCGCAGGUUGGGCCCAUGCACAGCAGCAGCUGCUCAGGGUCAGAGUUUCCUCGGGUUCUGUAUAAAAGCUUUGGUUGACUGAUUAGUGAAAUAAUCAUAUGCUGAAGAGAACAGGAAGUACUUGUGUUUAGAAAAAAAAGUAAUUGCAGCAAAUGCUAAAUAUCUCAAAGUAGGCUUAGUAUCUCUAAGAUAAUUGAGGCCUUUGAGAAAUACAAAAGAAGAACCGAAGAGCAAAGAAACAAGCUGAAGUAAGGAGAGCGCCCCACUCCCCAGUCCAAGAUUUCUGCUGCCCUACAGGAGACAUGUUCUUGGGAAAGCAGCAUCUCUCUCAAUUCGUCGUUAAAGAUGAAAUAGGCAAUUUCUGCCCAGUGACUUCCUUGCUACGAUAAACAACCUCGCCUGGAGGUGAAGAUGCUCAGUUUCUUCUUUGAACCAAGAAGGCGGUGCUGUCAGGAGCAGACAUGUCUCAUUGUCAAAUGAUGAAAUAACAUUAAAUGUAACAUUUUGUGGAUUUCUGAUGCUUUUGAAGACUCUAUAUAUGAGAUAAUACACUUCUUGUUUCAUCUCCCAAAGCUGAUGUAUCCACACCACUCUCCAGUGCACUGUUUGGCAUCCCUCUGCCUCUGCAUGAGUUACAGAUGGGAAAACAGAAAUUAGAGUUACCUGCAAAACUAACAAGACAGUGAAUGGAAAUGGCCUGAAUAUGAAUCUUCAUUCUUCGUUUUACCAGCAAAAUGGCCAGGGACUAAAUAACCUUUCUGAGCCUCAGUUUCCCCAUAAUGAAAGUCAUCAUAGUAUCUGUUUUGUGUCUAACAAAACCCAUAAUUUAAAGCAGUAAUGUUUAACAUGUACUCUUAAGCAAAAGUAAUUCUUUGCUGUCAUGAACAUCUUAACAUUUUCUAGGAUCCAGUGUUUUAAAAAUGUGUUUUUCUUUGUUUAGGGAAUUCUAACUAUACAUAGCACGAUGGAUAAUUUUCAACUUGAUAGAACCUAGCAUGGUGGGGAUGGGAGGAGGCUUCUGGGCGAGAAUUGUGUUGACUUUAUUGAGGUGGGAAGCCCUUCUUACUGUGGGUAGUUCCUUCCCUGGCAUGGCUUCUGGAUUGUGUAAGUGGAGAAAGUGAGCUGGGCACAGGCAAACUUGGCUCCAUCUUCCCUGACUGUGGAGCAGUUGCUUCAGUCAAGCUUCUGCUGACUUGCCUUCCCACCUUAGUGGACUGCACUUGGAGCUGAGAGCAAAACUAAAUGCUUUCAUCUGUGAGGCGCUUUUGUCCGUGUGUAUUAUCAUAGUGGCGAGAAGAAAAAGACACAGUACGAGCUGCUUCCUCAAGGAGAGUCCUAAAACUGUUUCCAGAUCUUUGGCGUUGGCUUUACCUGCAGGCAGUGAUUUGAAUGUUAUUAGCUUAAGGGAGGGAGACUGCUAAACUCCAGUUUGUGUUAAAGGCCCCUGAUAGGGUGGAUUCCUAAUGCAGCAGUGGCUGGCCGGACAAGGGGAGUAACCUCCACCGUGUUUAGUACUGGCAGAUGAGUCAUGAGAGCUGUCUUAGGGUUCCAUUGCUGGGGAGAGACACCAUGACCAAGGCAGUGCCUAUAAAGGCAAACAUUUGAUUGGGGCUGGCUUACAGUUUCAGAGGGUGAGCCUAUUAUCAUUAUAUUGAUAAGCAGGGCAGCAUGCAGGCAUACAUGGUGCUGGAAGAGCCAAGAGUUCUACAUUUUGAUCUGAAGGCAGCCAGGAGGAGGCUCUGAUUGACACACUUCCUACUCCAACAAGGCCAUACCUCCUAACAGUGCCACUCCCUAUGGCCAAACAUUCAAACACAGGAAUCUAUGGGGCCAUAUCUCUUCAACCACCACAGACACUCUCACUGGCUAGGUCUAGGAGACCUUUAAGCACUAAAGUGACCAAGCUUGUUGCCUCACUGUUCUCUAACUUCCCAGUGAUUCUCUGGGUUUCCCUGUCUUUGAAUAAACUUCUUUUCUGUGAAUGCAGUCAAAAUAGAU
rnacentral:lncRNA from 1 species